CCCCUCUCAGGGUCAUGCCUGGCAAGUUUUCUGUACUCUACCAGUCACGACUACAGGAGGGAGAGUCAAGCAGAGGCAUACUCAUUCCAUUCCUAGCUUGGGCAGUGGCUAGUGAGUGGAAGGCAGUCUGCUACAAGU